rnacentral:sRNA from 1 species
UGAUAACUAGAAGGCUUGAGUUGAGAUU